CGGGUGAGUAACGCGUGGGGAAUCUGCCUUUGAGCGGGGGACAACAUUUGGAAACGAAUGCUAAUACCGCAUAAAAACUUUAAACACAAGUUUUAAGUUUGAAAGAUGCAAUUGCAUCACUCAAAGAUGAUCCCGCGUUGUAUUAGCUAGUUGGUGAGGUAAAGGCUCACCAAGGCGAUGAUACAUAGCCGACCUGAGAGGGUGAUCGGCCACAUUGGGACUGAGACACGGCCCAAACUCCUACGGAAGGCAGCAG
rnacentral:rRNA from 1 species